AGUCCAAAAACUCUGAGUCAACAUUUUGAGCACAACCAUCCGAGAGCUCAGAGUAGAAAUUGAGAUCCAUUGUGAAAUAAAUUACUAGGUCAUUUUGAGGGUUCCAGUCAGAGUCAAAUAUAACACAAGUGUCAGCAGCAGUUAGGUUAAUACCCAAGCCACCAGCGCGGGUACACAGCAGGAAGACAAAGCGGUCUGAGUCAGGUUUGCUGAAACGAUCGAUGGCAGCCUGUCGCAAGUUCCCACGCACUCUACCAUCAAUUCGCUCAUAAAGAAAAACUGCAACAUAUACACUGCGGUCAUCAUACCUCUUGUUGAUGAGGUAGUCCUCCAGAAUGUCUAAGCAGCGCACCAUC